UACGUAGGGUGCAAGCGUUGUCCGGAAUUAUUGGGCGUAAAGGGCUCGUAGGCGGUCCAUCGCGUCGGGAGUGAAAAGCUGGGGCUCAACUCCAGUCCUGCUUCCGAUACGGGUGGACUAGAGGUAUGCAGGGGAGAACGGAAUUCCUGGUGUAGCGGUGAAAUGCGUAGAUAUCAGGAGGAACACCUGUGGUGUAGACAGCUUACUGGACCAUAACUGACGCUGAGGCACGAAAGCGUGGGUAGCAAACAGG
rnacentral:rRNA from 1 species